UGGAUCAACGAUGAGUCCUUGUGGGGCAUCUGAAUAAACUAUUUUGAUUAAACCCUGCCUGUAACUCUGAGGUCCUU
ensembl:snoRNA small nucleolar RNA, C/D box 113-7